UGGGGAAUUUUGGACAAUGGGGGCAACCCUGAUCCAGCAAUGCCGCGUGAGUGAAGAAGGCCUUCGGGUUGUAAAGCUCUUUUGUCAGGGAAGAAACGGUAGUAGCGAAUAACUAUUACUAAUGACGGUACCUGAAGAAUAAGCACCGGCUAACUACGUGCCAGCAGCCGCGGUAAUACGUAGGGUGCAAGCGUUAAUCGGAAUUACUGGGCGUAAAGCGUGCGCAGGCGGUUGCGUAAGUCAGAUGUGAAAUCCCCGGGCUCAACCUGGGAAUUGCAUUUGAGACUGCACGGCUAGAGUGUGUCAGAGGGGGGUAGAAUUCCACGUGUAGCAGUGAAAUGCGUAGAUAUGUGGAGGAAUACCGAUGGCGAAGGCAGCCCCCUGGGAUAACACUGACGCUCAUGCACGAAAGCGUGGGGAGCAAACAGGAUUAGAUACCCGGGUAGUCCCUGAGCGGGCUGGCAAGGCGCAU
rnacentral:rRNA from 1 species